CGCGUAGGCGGCCUGAUAAGUCAGUUGUGAAAGUCCACGGCUCAACCGUGGAAGUGCAUUUGAAACUGUCAGGCUUGAGUAUCGGAGGGGAAAGUGGAAUUCCCGGUGUAGAGGUGAAAUUCGUAGAGAUCGGGAGGAACACCGGUGGCGAAGGCGACUUUCUGGACGAAUACUGACGCUGAGGCGCGAAAGCGUGGGGAGCAAACAGGAUUAGAUACCCUGGUAGUCC
rnacentral:rRNA from 1 species